rnacentral:rRNA from 1 species
CCUACGGGUGGCAGCAGUGAGGAAUAUUGGUCAAUGGGCGAGAGACUGAACCAGCCAAGUCGCGUGAGGGAGUACUGCCCUAUGGGUUGUAAACCUCUUUUGUCGGGGAGCAAAAGCCGGACGUGUCCGGCUGUGAGAGUACCCGAAGAAAAAGCAUCGGCUAACUCCGUGCCAGCAGCCGCGGUAAAUCGGAGGAUGCGAGAGUUAUCCGGAUUUAUUGGGGUUAAAGGGUGCGCAGGCGGAUUGUUAAGUCAGCGGUCAAAUCGUGGGGGUCAACCCCGUCCAGCCGUUGAAACUGGCGAUCUAGAGUGUGCGAGAGGUAUGCGGAAUGCGUGGUGUAGCGGUGAAAUGCAUAGAUAUCACGCAGAACCCCGAUUGCGAAGGCAGCAUACCGGUGCACAACUGACGCUCAGGCACGAAAGCGUGGGUAUCGAACAGGAUUAGAUACCCGGGUAGUC